GUUUUUCUUUCUUUCCUUCUUUCCUUUCUUCCUUUUCUUUCCUUUCCCCAGUUGGAUUUUCCUAAUCCCCGAAACAUGGGGAGUGCAGCUUCAUUGUGUGGGAAGCA
rnacentral:ribozyme from 1 species